AAUGCCUCAACACACAGCUGUAUGGGCUGAUGUGUGGUCGGGAUCCAGACCUGGCAUCAGUUCAUACAACUGUGUUCUGUGAUGAAGACAUCACCUGGCAAAGGUUGGUAUGUGCAGCAGCGAGGAGGAGCUCUCCAACCUCAAGACCCAGCUCGGGGACCGGAUCGCUGGCUGUGGAAUUCCUGACAUAUACAGCGCCACAGCGGACAGCCUUCCACAGAUCCAGCAGCAAAUUGUGGCCCAUUUCCUCCACCAUCGAACUGCAAGUAUGAGCCAGCACUUUGUCGCUGGUAUGGAAGCCUGUGGGAACUUCUGGUCGCUGUGAAGGCAUCCUGGAGACAGCUCCUGCCUGUCUUCAC